rnacentral:rRNA from 1 species
GGGAAUCUACCUAGUUCUACGGAACAACAGUUGGAAACGACUGCUAAUACCGUAUACGCCCUAUGGGGGAAAGAUUUAUCGGAAUUAGAUGAGCCCGCGUAAGAUUAGCUAGUUGGUGGGGUAAUGGCCUACCAAGGCGACGAUCUUUAGCUGGUCUGAGAGGAUGAUCAGCCACACUGGGACUGAGACACGGCCCAGACUCCUACGGGAGGCAGCAGUGGGGAAUAUUGGACAAUGGGCGCAAGCCUGAUCCAGCCAUGCCGCGUGAGUGAUGAAGGCCUUAGGGUUGUAAAGCUCUUUCACCGAUGAAGAUAAUGACGGUAGUCGGAGAAGAAGCCCCGGCUAACUUCGUGCCAGCAGCCGCGGUAAUACGAAGGGGGCUAGCGUUGUUCGGAUUUACUGGGCGUAAAGCGCACGUAGGCGGUUUGUUAAGUCAGGGGUGAAAUCCCGGAGCUCAACUCCGGAACUGCCUUUGAUACUGGCAAGCUAGAGUCCGGAAGAGGUAAGUGGAACUCCUAGU